GCAAGGCAACACGAGCCAUACCUCAGAACAACAUCAACUGAAGCCGGCAGGACGGGAACCACGUUCCUCACCCUCAGCCAGGGACACGAGGCAGCUUAAGUGCACCCUGAAGCCAUCUUGGGAGGGGCAAGGAUGGAAGGAAGACAAGGUAUUGCACUCACGUGAAGAGGAUUUAGCCGUGGACACCAGGGCACCGGUGAUGAGGAGGAGGAGGAAGAGGGAGAUGGCAGCCAUGGAGACUUUCAUCCUCCUGGAUUGAGGGAGCUGCUGCAGGAGGAGAACUUGCCUGGUAGAGGCUUCUGAAGCUCCUGGGCUGAGGUGGUGCUGAGAAA